UUGAUCCUGGCUCACGACGAACGCUGGCGGCGUGCUUACACAUGCAAGUCAAGGGUAAAGUCUCAGCUUGCUGAGAUGAGUAUACUGGCGGAUGGGUGAGUAACACGUAGGUAAUCUACCUACAGGACAGGGAUAACACAGCUAACACGGUGCUAAUACCUGAUAAAGCGAUUGUUAUAAGAGAUGGUCGUUAACGGCUGGCAUUAGCUAGCGCCUGUAGAUGAGCCUGCGUCCCAUUAGUUAGUUGGUAGGGUAACGGCCUACCAAGGCGACGAUGGGUAGCCGGCCUGAGAGGGUGAGCGGCCACACUGGGACUGAGAUACGGCCCAGACUCCUACGGGAGGCAGCAGUGAGGAAUAUUGCGCAAUGGCCGAAAGGUUGACGCAGCGACGCCGCGUGAGGGAUGAAGCUUUUAGGAGUGUAAACCUCUGUUAGGAGGGAAGAAUAACGGCAAUUCGAACAGGGUUGUCGGAUGCCGGUACCUCCAGAGGAAGCCCCGGCUAACUCCGUGCCAGCAGCCGCGGUAAUACGGGGGGGGCUAGCGUUGUCCGGAAUUACUGGGCGUAAAGGGCGCGUAGGCGGGAUAGCAAGUCAGUGGUGCAAACUUGAGGCUUAACUUUGAGCUUGCCAUCGAUACUGUUAUUCUUGAGUUCGGCAGAGGGAAGUGGAAUUCCUGGUGUAGCGGUGAAAUGCGUAGAUAUCAGGAAGAACACCGGUGGCGAAGGCGGCUUCCUGGUCCGAUACUGACGCUGAGGCGCGAAAGCGCGGGGAGCGAACAGGAUUAGAUACCCUGGUAGUCCGCGCUGUAAACGAUGGGUACUAGGUG
rnacentral:rRNA from 1 species